UACAGAGGUCUCAAGCGUUGUUCGGAUUCAUUGGGCGUAAAGGGCGCGUAGGCGGCGGGGUAAGUCGGGUGUGAAAUCUCAGAGCUCAACUCUGAAACUGCACUCGAUACUGCUCUGCUUGAGGACUGGAGAGGAGACUGGAAUUCACGGUGUAGCAGUGAAAUGCGUAGAUAUCGUGAGGAAGACCAGUGGCGAAGGCGGGUCUCUGGACAGUUCCUGACGCUGAGGCGCGAAGGCCAGGGGAGCCAAAGCAGGAU
rnacentral:rRNA from 1 species